UAGCCCGUCUGUAUUUUUAAACACUUUGCGUGCUAUAACCUGUGACGUCUGGCCUUCUGUGACGAUUCCUCCGUGGGAAUCAGAUACAAGGCUGCUCCGUUUCCCCUUCUACCUCGUUGUCGGUUAAACCGAUAAUUGUCGAUCUGUCAGCCGAAUUCUUCCGAUUGCAGACAAAUGAAUAUCGUGGUGCAACAUGGUGCCGGCAUGGAAGAUAGUUAUUUUAGUGAGGUGAAUUGUUUCUUAUAACAGUGUGAUUUGUUGUGAAAAUGUUGAAACAAAAAUGCGAAAAAGUGCAAAAUUCUUUUUUGUGCAAAAUGUGUGAUUUCAAACAUUGCUACUCGAAGUGAAACCAGUGCAAUAUGAAGUUCAUGCAGUAGCAACCUGUUGGCUUCUUCCUGUUUGAACCAGUCACAUAACGCUGAAUCUGCUUGUGCACAAGGUUAAACCUUGAAACAUGUCAGGACCAAAAAGUGUGCUUCAUUUUUACCGUUCGUAUAAAGCAGUCAAUAACCGAUAUUACAUCAAAAUCGAGGAGCGAAAAUAUGGGCGAGGUACUUUCGUAGUAGUUGAGAAACACUUCCGUUAGAUGGCAGUGUCAUCAACACGGCAUGAGAUGUCAUGGCAGCAUCCAACUCCCACCACUCUGGACCACUUUCAUGCAAGUAAAGGAGGGGUUUGGAGAAGUGUGCCCCCUCCCUUCAUAUUGCUGUAGAUUCU